AUUGAACGCUGGCGGCAUGCCUAACACAUGCAAGUCGAGCGGAACGGCGGACGGGUGAGUAAUGCCUAGGAAUCUGCCUGGUAGUGGGGGAUAACUUCCGGAAACGGGCGCUAAUACCGCAUACUAUCAGAUGAGCCUCGGUCGGAUUAGCUAGUUGGAGGGGCAAAGGCUUACCAAGGCGACGAUCCGUAACUGAUCUGAGAGGAUGAUCAGUCACACUGGAACUGAGACACGGUCCAGACUCCUACGGGAGGCAGCAGUGGGGAAUAUUGGACAAUGGGCGAAAGCCUGAGCCAGCCAUGCCGCGUGUGUGAAGAAGGUCUUCGGAUUGUAAAGCACUUUAAGUUGGGAGGCGUUACCAACAUAGUAAGCACCGGCUAACUUCGUGCCAGCAGCCGCGGUAAUUC
rnacentral:rRNA from 1 species